GCCGUGGUGGCACAGCCUGGUACUGCGUAGGAUUGCUAAUCCUAUUUCCCGCAAGGGAUUCCCCAGUUCAAAUCUGGGCCACGGCG
rnacentral:tRNA from 1 species